rnacentral:rRNA from 1 species
AACAAACGCUGGCGGCGUGCCUAAUACAUGCAAGUCGAACGGGGAAAGCUUUCGGGUGAGUACUAGUGGCGCACGGGUGAGGAACGCGUGGAUAAUCUGCCUUAGAGUGGGGGAUAACUAGUCGAAAGAUUAGCUAAUACCGCAUAAGACCACAGGAGCUGCGGCUCAAGGGGUCAAAGGUUUUUCGCUCUAAGAUGAGUCCGCGUAAGAUUAGCUAGUUGGUGAGGUAACGGCUCACCAAGGCGACGAUCUUUAACUGGUCUGAGAGGAUGAUCAGUCACACUGGAACUGCGACACGGUACAGACUCCUACGGGAGGCAGCAGUAGGGAAUAGUGCACAAUGGAGGAAACUCUGAUGCAGCGACGCCGCGUGAGUGAUGAAGGCCUUCGGGUCGUAAAGCUCUGUCGCAGGGGAAUAACACAAUGAAGGUACCCUGUAAGAAAGGAUCGGCUAACUUCGUGCCAGCCGCCGCGGUAACAC